AUAUAUAUAUUAAUGGCAUGAUAAAUAUUACUAUAAAGUUCAACACCAGCCCAAUCUAAAGCCUCAAAUAUGAAACGAAUUAUGCACCUUUCUGAAAUCAAACACUAUAACCUUUACUACUAACCUUCAUGAAGUAUGAUUCAUUGCAGGACUCCUGUAUUUUACUGAUUUAGUUGUAUUGUUGUAAACUGACUCAACGUAUUUAAUAGAAAAACAAUUUGAAAACCCAAACAAAUUCUUCCAGCAGAUGGAGCCACAUACAUUAUUCCUUUAGGACCAUCACUUUACAUUUCAUUUACAGUUUUUCUCAAUUGUUUACACACAAAUACUGGUACUUGACACACAAUGACCACAACAUGUAACUCAUGCACCAACCCCCUGAACCAAUUCUGCUAAACUACAAGCACAAUUCUUGCUUUACACUUUUUUCAAAACACUACACACAAUUCUCUGCAUUCUCUGCACAAUUUUCAUGAAGAAAAUUUUGUUUUCACAAGAAAAACACUGUCAUUCAAAAUUCUAAAGUCAAUUGCCCUACUAUGCACACUGACUGUCACAUGGGCAAACACCUGGGCACACAGUGUUACAAUUAGCAAUCAGAGCUUUAGCAUAAAAGGGCAACAGGUGAGCUCUUCUGUUUUGGAGCAAUGGAUGACAACAACAGAGCGAGAGGAGUGAGAGUAAGAGGAGGAGGAGGACGAGGACGGGGAGGACAAGGACGACAAGGACGAGGAAGGCCAAGGACCGUAAACUCUGAUGAGAUCCGAGUCACUUUGGUUGACCAAAGCUAUGGAGGAAUUCUUUUCUGCCUGGAGAUGGAAAGUUUAUGACCGAAAUCCACAAACACAUAUCCCCCUUCUCUGAGCUAUGGAAGACGCAUGUGAAGAUAUAGCAGUUGAUACUUUUCAUGGCUGAAUUCGACAUGCUGAGCGAUAUUUCCCCCGCUGCUUGGCCAGGGAAAACAUUGCUUGUGAUGUGGAUGAGGUUCUGUGGAACAGACCGGAACAGAAGACAGGAUGCAGCAUAGAUUUUUACUGUAACUGUAUACAGUAAAUUCUUCUGUUGUUUUGUAUGUAGACCACUGUAUGUGCAACUUUGUGUUGCUUGGGAAGGUACACUGUGUGCAUUGUUUUCGUGGGGAAAAUAAAAUAUAUUUGUUACCAUGUAUUUGUGUGUUCAAGAGUACAAAAACAAUAUUCUAAAAUAUUGUACAACACACGUAUGUAUGUACUGUCUGUAGUAAGUAUUAAAAAAAUGGUCAAAGUCAUUAUGAUGAAUGGAGAAGUGUUUUCCAUUCAUCAUAGUGUUUUACAUUGAGCCCAUCAGUGUUCAACCGGUUCUUAUAAAUGUCUUCAUAUGAUGAUUUGUGUGUGUCAUUUCAAAACAAAAUACCAUUUUGAGAAGAAAUAACAUUGUUUUGAUUGUAAAGUUUAAUUUUGCAGGAGUAUUGAGGGGUUUUGCCCAUUGUGUGUGUUUUUUUAUUUGUGUGUACAGUUCUGAGAGUAUGAGGCAUGCUUUAAGAAAAUGUGUGUAAACAAUCGAGAAAAACUGAUUUUGCUGAUGCUUUUAUCCAAAGUGCAUUCAACCAAGAGGGAACAGACACAGUCAUUUCACAACAAGUUUAGCAUUCAAAUUGUUUUUAAACUGUUCUGGAAUACCAACACCUCCAGGCUUGUCAAGAAAGCUCACCAGCGCCUCUUCUUUUUGAGGACUCUCAAGAAGAAACACCUGUCUUCAGCCAUCCUGGUGAAUUUCUACCACUGCGUGAUCGAGAGCAUCCUUACUGUCACCGUAACCCUAAUCCUCACUAGUCCUGUCUAUGCAUGUCUGGCUGGCUGGCUGCAGAGGUCCCAGGUGAAUAUCAAAAAUGCAUUGUAACUCAUGGCUUUGCUGAGUCUCAAACCAGGUACCACAGAGUCCCCAGCCUGAUUCGUAUCACACUGAGCUAUCCCUUUGACAGCCAGAAGCAAGGGAAAUUGGAUCAAGUCUUUAAAAGCAGAGUCCAGAGUGCAGCUGGAGGCCUGCUGCAAAGGAAGGUGGCUUUGCUCUCAAGGAGAAAGGGGAACCUCUCCACGGGCCUGGUCCCUGUCCAAGCAGGGAAAAUGGAAGGUUUGGUCCGAGAAAGUAGAUCAAAAUGUCACAAGUUCUCCCAGUCUGUGGGUAAGUCUCAAAAGCCAUACAACCACCUAAGGAUUCCAUAAUUUUACUUUUGUGCCUUACUGACUUUGUCUGAUUGCCUGUCUGAAGAAUCCUACUUGUCUGCAUACCGCACCAGGGCUCCAAUCCCUCGGUAAAGCGGAAGGAAACGCCACAUCCAAGGUGGGAAGAGUCUGCCACUUCUUAGCCUACAUGGGGGCUGGAAAGAAUAAGCUCCACCUGUGGCACUACCUGGACAACCCCCAGCGUAUAUUCAGUUGAGUGAUUGAAUUGGAUGAAUACUUUGAAAUAAUUUUACAAGUGUUAAUCUCUGCCCCUUUUCCCUGUGCAGUUACGCAGCAAGCCUCCAGCCUGGCAAAACUAUCACCACGGCUGCAAUUUAUCUAAAAAAUGUGUCUCAGUUCAUGACCUAUUUCCAGCAAACGCCCCUGAAACAAUGCAGACUACCCGGGGCCAAAUAGUCGGUGUUAUACGGGCUCUGAAUGCCUACAAAUCCAACAUGAAUACGCCAGUAGUCCUCCACCAGCUAAAGGUUAAGUCGGAUACACUGUCCCGACUUGUUUCCCGUGAGACGCUGCGUAACUGUCAGCGGAGAGCUAACCCUGCAAUCCCAAAGCUUCUGGGUAAGUGUGCUGCAUUCAUUGAAUCCACCGAUGUGUUUGAGUUUGGCUUAAUGUGAACUUCCUUAGACUGCAUGGAGCGUGAGAACAGCAUCCAGAAAAGGUACGCUUUUUUCGGUCACUUGUCCGCCCUCCUGGCAUCCCUCUAUGGAUACUAGCCGGGUGUAUUUACGAACAUGUCCAUGGCUGAGGUGCUUGAGGCCGCGGAGGAGGAGUGCCUUGAUGGUGAGGCUGACAGUCACCAUUCCCGACACUGGCUAUGUUUUUUCGGUGGCGGGGCAUAAGACUAACCAGGACUUUGGCGCAGCACAGAUGUACCUGCGUUCUAAAGAGUCCUCCUGGUUUAAAAAGUAGCUGACUCUGUGGGAAAAAUGCAACCCCACAACGGAUCACUUUAUGGUAGGCGAUGGAGGAGGGCCAGUCACCAACCUACUCCAAUGCAUGCAAGGUGCCUGGAUUGAAAUGGGGCUGCCUGGCCGGCCAAAUUUCAUAGACCUCCGCACCGCAGUCGCAGCACAUACGAAAAGCUUCCAUAGUGAAGAUGUUCGGAGGUGCAUAGCAACUUUCAUGUGCCACGACGUAACAACCGCUGACCGCUUUUACGCACUGGUCCUGAAUCCGACGCAGGCCAAACUGCGCCGUAUCCAUCUGGAAGAAGUUGUUGCCAAGCACGUCUCCCCGUCUGCAUUGUCGUCUAACUGAAAUACCUGUUUGAAUAAAAAGUAACUCCUAUUGGCCAACGAUCCUGUAGUGUCCUGGGCAGAAAGGUGCAGCAGACCAGGACGGCGUCCAAGGCCCGGCUCGCAUCUUCUGCUACUGCAAACACUGAGUGAGUUUCUGUUGUGACUACUCCGUGAAGGGACUGCGAGGUGUACGCUGUACUACAUGUCCACAGCUCUCCAAGUGAUUGGAACAGGACAUGUCUAUGUCUAUGUCCUAUGACACGGGUCAUAGCUGUGUACGUACUGGUAAAUGUGUCCGACCAGGCCUGCAUCGCAGGCAGAACGAGGCCAGCAACAAAGCUGCUCUGGGUGUUCCUUCUCUGAGGAACAGGAGAGGAAGCUGCAGGAACUGCGAAACAAAGAGGUCCCGCAGUUCAAGGCCCAGUGUCAGAUUGGUUCGCUGGUGCAGGUGGAACAGGAAGUAAGACCCAGGUGCAGGUUUCUUACAGAGUGUUCUUUUUCAUCAUCAGAUCGACUCCCGGUGUCCUCACGCUGGCUUGGCCCGGCUCCACAGAAAGGUGGUGGAUGCUGACCGCGUUAGCUGCUCAUAGCCGGCUUACCGGUGUCCUUUCGCAGCAGUAUGCACACAGGUGGACCUUCAACCAAGUCCCGUGUCCAGUCUUAACGCUGAUGUCCGCUUUCCAGAAUCCUGUCCGCUGGAAACUACAGCAUCGUCUGCUACCUCCGGUGCCGUUCCGGCAUCAUUAAGCAGUUUUCGACUUGAAUGUAGCGGCCAAGCCGAACCUAAAGCCACUGAGGGGCUGUGUAGACAUGCUCAAAGUAGUUUUUGACGCGCUGACUACUGCACAACUAUAUUUUGUUUCGUUGAAUAAAACCGCUUACGCCUUUGCUUCUUCGUUUAAAUGCAUACUUUAUUCUUCACAAUGCCGAGUCCAUUCAACUGUCACUUAGAAACAAACAAAUGUGACGGAGACUGGAGCGGUCGAAAACUGUGUGCUCCUCCGUCUAUCAACACCUGCCACCUGGCUGAAAGUCCCCACCUAUAAAGAAAUGGGCACCAUGAUGACACCUACUGGCCCAAUUUGGUACCUUCCACCCAAUGAUAAUAUAACAACUGGCUCCUACAAUGAGUUUGUGUGGUCCAAAAACCCAACUUUAUGAAUGAGUCGGAUGGCUCUUUUUUGCAUUGUCACUAUUGGUUUUAAUGUGCUUUUGUAUGUACUGCCCCAUACCCCGGAACAAUAAUGUAAGUGGCACAAGAGUAGGGAACAGUGUAAAGUAUGCAGAGCUUUGAUGUUUAAAAAUGCUUUACUUUUGCAAUUACUGAAAUACUUAUUGAUAUUUUAGUGGUUAAAUAUUUGAUAUGAGAAUUCCAAGUAAUUCUAUCAUCUAUAAUAACUCCAAGGAAUUUGAUUUUGUGCACUCGCUCUAUAACGACACUGUCUAUCUUAAUAACUUCCUGGGCAUUGGAAUUACCUUUUCCAAAUAUCAUUUUGCAUUUACUCUGAUUUAGUGAUAGUUUUUGUUGAAACCACUUAGUAACCCGUUUGAGUUCCAAAGUAACAAUUUGACAGUUUUAAAUCGUUUCCGGAUGCAAAAAUAUUUGUAUCAUCUGCAAACAAGUAUUUUAGACGUUUUGCAAAUAUCGUUUAUAUAAAUGUUAAACAAUUUUGGGCCCAAAAUUGAACCUUGAGGUAAUCCACACACAAUUUCUUGAUAACCUGACUGAUAGUCUCCUAUUACCACACAUUGUUUCUUAUUUUUUAGAUAACUAGUAACCCACUGUAGAGCUACCCCUCUGAUACUGGUCUAACUUCUUACUUAAAAUGUCUCAAUUUUUUGAUGUACGUUUUUAUUUAAUACAAAAACUGGAAGAUGAUCGGUGAUAUCGUUUAUCAUUGGUCCGCUAACCGUAUUACUUUCUAUUUCAUUUGAAAAAAUGUUAUUGAUUAAAGUAGCACUAUAAGUUGUAAUUCUGCUCGGUUUAGUUAUUAAAUGAAACAGUCCUAUGCUAAAUAAAGUAUCAAUGAAUUCAUCAGUCUUUUUAUGUUUGGGUUUAACAGAUCGAUGUUAAGAUGACCCCCAACAAACAUAAGUUUCUGAUUUGACUGUGAAAAGUGCUCCUCCAUCCAGUUAUUAAACACAUCUAUAUUAGAUCCCGGGGUUCUAUAAAUGCAACUUACAAUUAUGUUGAACUCUGAAGGAACUCUUUGUAAAUGCUCACAUUGCUUGUUUGACUUACUUCACUUUAAUUAUAAUUAUAUUUACAAGAGAGAACCUGAAAAGUGUUUCAGUCAUACUGCUGCCCUGAGG